UCAUACCACUCGCCAGGGAACUACGAGCGCAUUGCUUAAAACCCAACGGACUUGGCGGUGCUCACACUCCACCUAGAGGAGCCUGUUCUAUAACUGAAACUACCCGUUAAACCUCACCGUUUCUAGCCAUCAGUCUAUAUACCGCCGUCGCAAGCUCACCCUAUGAAGGAAAUAGUAGCAAGCAAGAAGCUUCGCCCAGAACGUCAGGUCGAGGUGUAGCAAAUGAAACGGGAAGAAAUGGGCUACAUUUUCUGAACAACAGAACAUACGAACAUAAUUAUGAAACACGUUACUUGAAGGAGGAUUUAGUAGUAAAAAUGUAA
rnacentral:rRNA from 1 species